rnacentral:lncRNA from 1 species
CACUGACCUGAAAGGCAAAGGGAAUCCCUGGAAAACAAUGAAAUGCAUCCUGUGCUCAUUAGCUAUGUUGAACCAACCUUGCAGCCCUGGAAUAAAGGAAGUUCAUUCUUACAAUUAUUUGCCUCAUUCCUUUCUGGAAAUAAAAA